rnacentral:sRNA from 12 species
GGCCUAAACCCGUCAUUCUUGGCGGGCAUGGCGUCAAAUCCGGUUAGGGAUGAAGAUCCCAUCGUUGAGGGUUCCCUAACCGGUCAUGCAGGGAAACUUGCAUGUUCUGCCCGAAAGGGCGGA